rnacentral:rRNA from 1 species
GACGAACGCUGGCGGCGUGCCUAAUACAUGCAAGUCGAGCGCAGGAAACUGACGGAACUCUUCGGAGGGAAGGCAGCGGAAUGAGCGGCGGACGGGUGAGUAACACGUAAGGAACCUGCCUCAAGGAUUGGGAUAACUCCGAGAAAUCGGAGCUAAUACCGGAUAGUUCAUCGGACCGCAUGGUCCGUUGAUGAAAGGCGCUUCGGCGUCACCUUGAGAUGGCCUUGCGGUGCAUUAGCUAGUUGGUGGGGUAACGGCCCACCAAGGCGACGAUGCAUAGCCGACCUGAGAGGGUGAUCGGCCACACUGGGACUGAGACACGGCCCAGACUCCUACGGGAGGCAGCAGUAGGGAAUCUUCCACAAUGGACGAAAGUCUGAUGGAGCAACGCCGCGUGAGUGAUGAAGGUUUUCGGAUCGUAAAACUCUGUUGUAAGGGAAGAACACGUACGAGAGGAAAUGCUCGUACCUUGACGGUACCUUACGAGAAAGCCACGGCUAACUACGUGCCAGC